GUUAAGAUGUCUGAAAAAAGUAAUAAAUUGUAAGUUUAUUUAUGAAUUAAAAUUCUCUUAAUA
rnacentral:tRNA from 1 species